rnacentral:lncRNA from 1 species
UUAUUUUCACCCGUAAAAUCAUUUCACCAGUUUCUCUGCACGAAUACCGAGAGAAACCGAGCUGCGUUCUUCGUGUUCUUCAUAAUCAAACGAAGAUUUGAAGGUGUUAUUGAAGUCAGAAUCAAGCGUGCAAAUAGUCAAAUCGAAGAUAUCGAAGAGUAGAACCCAAAUCAAUCAUCAAAAACAACAUGAGAUUCACAGGUAGGGAGUAAUUGAAGCUUUAAAAUUCGAAUUAUUAUGAUUUAAAUAGUGAAUUUUUGCAAACGUGGUUAUUUGAUUGUUUUGAUGAUUCCAUGUUGUAGUACGUGCUUUUCUCGUCGUUUUGGUAUAU